UGCGAAGGGUGCAAGCGUUACCCGGAAUUACUGGGCGUAAAGCGUGCGUAGGUGGUUUGUUAAGUCUGAUGUGAAAGCCCUGGGCUCAACCUGGGAACGGCAUUGGAAACUGGCUUACUAGAGUGCGGUAGAGGGGUGUGGAAUUCCCGGUGUAGCAGUGAAAUGCGUAGAUAUCGGGAGGAACAUCGGUGGCGAAGGCGACACCCUGGACCAGAACUGACGCUGAGGCACGAAAGCGUGGGGAGCAAACAGG
rnacentral:rRNA from 1 species